CCUACGGGUGGCAGCAGUGAGGAAUAUUGGUCAAUGGGCGGAAGCCUGAACCAGCCAAGUCGCGUGCAGGAUGAUGGCCCUACGGGUUGUAAACUGCUUUUAUACGGGAAUAACGGGCAUUACGUGUAGGGCUUUGCAUGUACCGUAUGAAUAAGGACCGGAUAAUUCAGUGCCAGCAGCCGCGGUAAUACGGAAGGUCCGGGCGUUAUCCGGAUUUAUUGGGUGUAAAGGGAGCGUAGGCCGCAGGUCAAGUGUGCUGUGAAGUGUCCGGGCUCAACCCGGGCCUUGCAGCGCGAACUGGCGUGCUUGAGUCCGCGGAAGGCAGGCGGAAUUCGACGUGUAGCGGUGAAAUGCUUAGAUAUGGCGAAGAACACCGAUUGCGAAGGCAGCUUGCUGCAGCGAAACUGACGCUGAUGCUCGAAAGCGCGGGUAUCGAACAGGAUUAGAUACCCCAGUAGUC
rnacentral:rRNA from 1 species